UACGUAGGGUGCAAGCGUUAAUCGGAAUUACUGGGCGUAAAGCGUGCGCAGGCGGCUUUGCAAGACAGAUGUGAAAUCCCCGGGCUUAACCUGGGAAUGGCAUUUGUGACUGCACGGCUAGAGUGUGUCAGAGGGGGGUAGAAUUCCACGUGUAGCAGUGAAAUGCGUAGAUAUGUGGAGGAAUACCGAUGGCGAAGGCAGCCCCCUGGGAUAACACUGACGCUCAUGCACGAAAGCGUGGGGAGCAAACAGG
rnacentral:rRNA from 1 species